rnacentral:tRNA from 1 species
GGGUAUCGUAUAAUGGCUAUUACCUCAGCCUUCCAAGCUGAUGAUGCGGGUUCGAUUCCCGCUACCCGCUCCA